rnacentral:rRNA from 1 species
AGCUACAGCCUUGGCACGUUGAUACACCCGAUUCUUUGAUCUCGGAAGUUAAGCAACGUGCAGUUGGGUCAGUACUUGUAUGGGAGACCACCAAGGAAGACUAGAUGCUGUAGCUG